rnacentral:rRNA from 1 species
AUUGAACGCUGGCGGCAUGCCUAACACAUGCAAGUCGAACGAGUGGCGGACGGGUGAGUAAUGUCUGGGAAACUGCCCGAUGGAGGGGGAUAACUACUGGAAACUGUAGCUAAUACCGCAUACCAUCGGAUGUGCCCAGAUGGGAUUAGCUAGUAGGUGGGGUACCGGCUCACCUAGGCGACGACCCAUAGCUGGUCUGAGAGGAUGACCAGGCAAAAUGGAACUGAGACACGGGCCAGACGCCUACGGGAGGCAGCAGUGGGGAAUAUUGGACAAUGGGCGAAAGCCUGAUGCAGCCAUGCCGCGUGUAUGAAGAAGGCCUUCGGGUUGUAAAGUACUUUCAGCGAGGAGGCGUUACUCGCAGAAGAAGCACCGGCUAACUACGUGCCAGCAGCCGCGGUAAUUC